UUAAGCGACUAAGCGUACACGGUGGAUGCCCUGGCAGUCAGAGGCGAUGAAGGGCGUGCUAAUCUGCGAUAAGCGCCGGUAAGGUGAUAUGAACCGUUAUAACCGGCGAUACCCGAAUGGGGAAACCCAGUGUGACUCGUCACACUAUCAUUAACUGAAUCCAUAGGUUAAUGAGGCGAACCGGGGGAACUGAAACAUCUAAGUACCCCGAGGAAAAGAAAUCAACCGAGAUUCCCCCAGUAGCGGCGAGCGAACGGGGAGGAGCCCAGAGCCUGAAUCAGCAUGUGUGUUAGUGGAAGCGUCUGGAAAGACGCGCGAUACAGGGUGACAGCCCCGUACACAAAAGCGCAUGUGCUGUGAGCUCGAUGAGUAGGGCGGGACACGUGGUAUCCUGUCUGAAUAUGGGGGGACCAUCCUCCAAGGCUAAAUACUCCUGACUGACCGAUAGUGAACCAGUACCGUGAGGGAAAGGCGAAAAGAACCCCGGCGAGGGGAGUGAAAAAGAACCUGAAACCGUGUACGUACAAGCAGUGGGAGCACCCUUUGGGGUGUGACUGCGUACCUUUUGUAUAAUGGGUCAGCGACUUAUAUUCUGUAGCAAGGUUAACCGUAUAGGGGAGCCGUAGGGAAACCGAGUCUUAACCGGGCGUUAAGUUGCAGGGUAUAGACCCGAAACCCGGUGAUCUAGCCAUGGGCAGGUUGAAGGUUGGGUAACACUAACUGGAGGACCGAACCGACUAAUGUUGAAAAAUUAGCGGAUGACCUGUGGCUGGGGGUGAAAGGCCAAUCAAACCGGGAGAUAGCUGGUUCUCCCCGAAAGCUAUUUAGGUAGCGCCUCGUGAAUUCAUCUCCGGGGGUAGAGCACUGUUUCGGCUAGGGGGCCAUCCCGGCUUACCAACCCGAUGCAAACUGCGAAUACCGGAGAAUGUUAUCACGGGAGACACACGGCGGGUGCUAACGUCCGUCGUGAAGAGGGAAACAACCCAGACCGCCAGCUAAGGUCCCAAAGUCAUGGUUAAGUGGGAAACGAUGUGGGAAGGCCCAGACAGCCAGGAUGUUGGCUUAGAAGCAGCCAUCAUUUAAAGAAAGCGUAAUAGCUCACUGGUCGAGUCGGCCUGCGCGGAAGAUGUAACGGGGCUAAACCAUGCACCGAAGCUGCGGCAGCGAACGUAUCACUUAAAGCGAUUCAGCGGGUUACGAUUGACGGAGCGAAGCGACGUCAAAGCGUAUACAAAGUCGAGUCGGUUUAAGGAUACGUUCGUUGGGUAGGGGAGCGUUCUGUAAGCCUGUGAAGGUGGCCUGUGAGGGUUGCUGGAGGUAUCAGAAGUGCGAAUGCUGACAUAAGUAACGAUAAAGCGGGUGAAAAGCCCGCUCGCCGGAAGACCAAGGGUUCCUGUCCAACGUUAAUCGGGGCAGGGUGAGUCGACCCCUAAGGCGAGGCCGAAAGGCGUAGUCGAUGGGAAACAGGUUAAUAUUCCUGUACUUGGUGUUACUGCGAAGGGGGGACGGAGAAGGCUAUGUUGGCCGGGCGACGGUUGUCCCGGUUUAAGCGUGUAGGUGUGUGUUCCAGGUAAAUCCGGUUCACUUUAACACUGAGGCGUGACGACGAGGCACUACGGUGCUGAAGCAACAAAUGCCCUGCUUCCAGGAAAAGCCUCUAAGCAUCAGGUAACAUCAAAUCGUACCCCAAACCGACACAGGUGGUCAGGUAGAGAAUACCAAGGCGCUUGAGAGAACUCGGGUGAAGGAACUAGGCAAAAUGGUGCCGUAACUUCGGGAGAAGGCACGCUGACACGUAGGUGAAGUGAUUUACUCAUGGAGCUGAAGUCAGUCGAAGAUACCAGCUGGCUGCAACUGUUUAUUAAAAACACAGCACUGUGCAAACACGAAAGUGGACGUAUACGGUGUGACGCCUGCCCGGUGCCGGAAGGUUAAUUGAUGGGGUCAGCGCAAGCGAAGCUCCUGAUCGAAGCCCCGGUAAACGGCGGCCGUAACUAUAACGGUCCUAAGGUAGCGAAAUUCCUUGUCGGGUAAGUUCCGACCUGCACGAAUGGCGUAAUGAUGGCCAGGCUGUCUCCACCCGAGACUCAGUGAAAUUGAACUCGCUGUGAAGAUGCAGUGUACCCGCGGCAAGACGGAAAGACCCCGUGAACCUUUACUAUAGCUUGACACUGAACAUUGAGCCUUGAUGUGUAGGAUAGGUGGGAGGCUUUGAAGCGUGGACGCCAGUCUGCGUGGAGCCGACCUUGAAAUACCACCCUUUAAUGUUUGAUGUUCUAACGUGGACCCGUAAUCCGGGUUGCGGACAGUGUCUGGUGGGUAGUUUGACUGGGGCGGUCUCCUCCUAAAGAGUAACGGAGGAGCACGAAGGUUGGCUAAUCCUGGUCGGACAUCAGGAGGUUAGUGCAAUGGCAUAAGCCAGCUUGACUGCGAGCGUGACGGCGCGAGCAGGUGCGAAAGCAGGUCAUAGUGAUCCGGUGGUUCUGAAUGGAAGGGCCAUCGCUCAACGGAUAAAAGGUACUCCGGGGAUAACAGGCUGAUACCGCCCAAGAGUUCAUAUCGACGGCGGUGUUUGGCACCUCGAUGUCGGCUCAUCACAUCCUGGGGCUGAAGUAGGUCCCAAGGGUAUGGCUGUUCGCCAUUUAAAGUGGUACGCGAGCUGGGUUUAGAACGUCGUGAGACAGUUCGGUCCCUAUCUGCCGUGGGCGCUGGAGAACUGAGGGGGGCUGCUCCUAGUACGAGAGGACCGGAGUGGACGCAUCACUGGUGUUCGGGUUGUCAUGCCAAUGGCACUGCCCGGUAGCUAAAUGCGGAAGAGAUAAGUGCUGAAAGCAUCUAAGCACGAAACUUGCCCCGAGAUGAGUUCUCCCUGAGACUUAGAGUCUCCUGAAGGAACGUUGAAGACGACGACGUUGAUAGGCCGGGUGUGUAAGCGCAGCGAUGCGUUGAGCUAACCGGUACUAAUGAACCGUGAGGCUUAACCUU
rnacentral:rRNA from 1 species